rnacentral:lncRNA from 1 species
GGACACCAAAUAAAUUCAAGACUCUCAAAUUAGACUUUUUAAAUUUUAGUUAUAUUGUAAUUCAAUUUUUUUAAACUUUUUGGCAAACUUUUGCACAUUGGGUCAUUAAAAUUUAUGUUGGGCCCAAUAGUCUAAGACACAUGUCCUACCCUAGGGUUUCCUUUUAUUUUAGGGUGGACCCCACCCAUUUUAGAAGCUACACUUGGCCUCUUAGUAGGGCACCAGCCGUCACAUGAGGCCACCUGCACUCUCUCGGUAUUUUUGUUUAGGCAGUUGUUACCGAGAGGGAGUAUCAUUUUUUUUGAAGAAGUUGACGUGAUGGAUUAUGGGUGAAAAGUGUGGAGCGUUGAAGCAGCAGCCAACUCACUCUUAUUUCUUUGAUUUUAUUACUUUUUUGCUUUGAACAAUUAUGGAAAUGUAAGAAUUCAUCAAGAUAGCUUCCGCUUAUUCACCUUUGCAGCCGCC